CUUUAAUCAUAUACAACAGCACUUCAGAAAGCUGGGGAUCUUCAUUCAGGUUGACAAGGUUUGGUAAACGAUUGUCCAUUUUGAAUGCAAUUCCUGCUUUCUGCAAUUCUUUUAUAUCUUCUAGUUUUCUUUUUUCUGCUUGUUCAAGUUUUGCUUUCCAAGCCCUCUGCAUUUCUGUCAUGUCCCUUUCCUGCCGGUGCAGUUUUAUUCUCAGAGAUGUUAUUUCUUG
rnacentral:lncRNA from 1 species